UACAGAGGUCUCAAGCGUUGUUCGGAUUCAUUGGGCGUAAAGGGUGUGUAGGUGGCGCGCUAAGUCGGGUGUGAAAUUUCGGAGCUUAACUCCGAAACUGCAUUCGAUACUGGCGUGCUUGAGGACUGGAGAGGAGACUGGAAUUCAUGGUGUAGCAGUGAAAUGCGUAGAUAUUGGGAGGAACACCGGUGGCGAAGGCGGCUACCUGGACCGGUACUGACGCUGAUGCGCGAAAGCUAGGGUAGCAAACAGG
rnacentral:rRNA from 1 species